rnacentral:lncRNA from 1 species
CAAAUUUCAAGUUCUACUUCUUCUCUGCAUUUAAUCAUUUUCUUCCAGGUAUAUGUGUUUGUCUUAGCUUGUACCACCACUGCAUGGUGUUUCUUCAAAUAUUUGUUGCUCAUAUAACUUCUCCACAAUGAUUCUUUAGUUCUCAUGUUCCACCAUAGCUUUGCAAAUAGUGCGUUAGAUAUAUCUUGAAGACUUCUGAAACCCAC